rnacentral:rRNA from 1 species
CUACGGGGGGCUGCAGUAGGGAAUUUUCGGCAAUGGGGGAAACCCUGACCGAGCAAUGCCGCGUGAAUGAAGAAGGCCUUCGGGUUGUAAAGUUCUGUUAAUGGGAAAGAAUGGUUGGUGUAGGAAAUGACACUAAUUUGACGGUACCCGUUUAGAAAGCCCCGGCUAACUACGUGCCAGCAGCCGCGGUAAUACGUAGGGGGCGAGCGUUAUCCGGGAUUAUUGGGCGUAAAGAGUGGGUAGGCGGUUUAUUAAGUCAGUCGUAAAAGAUCUCAGCCUAACUGGGUAGGGCGAUUGAAACUGGUAGACUUGAGUAUGGUAGAGGUAAGUGGAAUUCCAUGUGUAGCGGUGGAAUGCGUAGAUAUAUGGAGGAACACCAAUGGCGAAGGCAGCUUACUGGGCCAGAACUGACGCUGAGGCACGAAAGCGUGGGGAGCAAACAGGAUUAGAUACCCGGGUAGUC